GUCCUGGCAGACAGGCUGACAUUCACAUUUGCAGCCAGCACUGAACCCAAGCUAAGUCUGAGCUGGUUCAUGGUUCAGUGUAAUGCCUCACACAGCCAUGUAAAUGGCCCGACUGGGACAGAAACUUGGAUUCAGUUUAAAAAGUCAGUGCUGCUCCAAGAAAAGCAACUGAUGCUCUGCCAACAAUGUCUUAAAUUGAACUAACAAUUACUAAAAAUUAUUUUAUUCCUCUUAACCAAAGAACUGCUGCAUUAAUGGAGCUUCGGACAUGCUAACAGCACAGCAGAUUCUAAACACUGCUCUCCUGGCUCCGUUCAUCCCUUGGCAGGAAGGAAGGCAGGAGCAAACAUCUUGGACAACAGGGCUGCACAACAUGCAACAGGAGCAGGGAGGGGAAGGAAACUGCAGCAGGCACUCCUGAGGGACUGAAGAGCAAUGACGGCUUCUAUCUGAAGAAUGCUGAGAAAAUCUAAAAAGUUAUUUUAAAGCUUCUGAAGAAUUAAUAGAACGAUGUCCGUAAACGUCCUCUCAGAAAUAUCAGAAUCCAGGGUGGGGUUUUACAGAAGUUGGAGAGGUACGAGAACUGAGGCUGAUGGCUGACUACAAUGAUUUUUUUUCCUAUAUUUCAUUGAAUCACAGAAUGGCCUGAGUUAAAAAGGAUUUCAAAGACCAUCUAGUUUCAAGCCCCCUGCUUUGGGCAUGGCCACCAACCACCAGACAGGGAGCACAUUUGCCCCUUGUUUUCACACUGGGAGUUGCAUAUUUGUAACUGAGGGAAGAACUGAGUGCAGUGUUAACAACGUUAGGUAAAUAAUGUUGCUAUUAGAUUUUUAGAACCUGUUCUUUCUUUUUUUUUUUUUUAACGUGUUAUGUAAUCACUCCUCUAAUGAGCGUUCGGCCAAUAAAGGUGAAACAAGUUGCUAA
ensembl:lncRNA